UAAUAAGCGUUUUAUGGCACUUUUUAAAUCCAUAUCCACCUUGUGUGCAAUGUCAGUCGAUCUUCUUCAUGGAUAUCGACCAAACAUCAACCUUUAUUUUUUAACUCUUUGUCUGAAAAAUAUUAUGAAUAAACAAUUCAAAAUA
rnacentral:misc_RNA from 1 species